AAUAUCAUGGCUGAUUUUUCUCUUCUAAGUAUUAAUUGAUACACCUUUGUGCUAUAUAAGCAAAAUUAACAUCUCUUAUUUAUAGAAACAUGAAUUAGAUUAAAUAUAUUUCUAGUUAAAAUUAUAGUAUUGAUUAAGAAGAAACUUCUAUUUGCAUGCUACUAAAUUUGUUGUAGAACUAUUACUUUGGAGCAAAUUUUUGCUAGGUUUGAUAGAAUAUGUUAUGAGUUCUUUUUCAGUAAGCUAAGAAUAUGAUAAAAAAUUAAAGAUCAAUUUAUUAAUUGGAUUACAAAAGAAAUGAAUUCCAAAGAUAUCUUUUCUUGUUGCUUU
rnacentral:lncRNA from 1 species